CAGUGCAGUCACCCAUAAAGUAGAAAGCACUACUAACAGCACUGGAGGGUGUAGUGUUUCCUACUUUAUGGAUGAGUGUACUGU
rfam:Fukomys damarensis contig85155, whole genome shotgun sequence.